GACGAACGCUGGCGGCGCGCCUAACACAUGCAAGUCGAACGGAGCUGCGAGAAGCUUGCUUUUCUUAGCUUAGUGGCGAACGGGUGAGUAACGCGUGAGUAACCUGCCCUGGAGUGGGGGACAACAGUUGGAAACGACUGCUAAUACCGCAUAAGCCCACGAUCCGGCAUCGGAUUGAGGGAAAAGGAUUUAUUCGCUUCAGGAUGGACUCGCGUCCAAUUAGCUAGUUGGUGAGGUAACGGCCCACCAAGGCGACGAUUGGUAGCCGGACUGAGAGGUUGAACGGCCACAUUAGGACUGAGACACGGCCCAGACUCCUACGGGAGGCAGCAGUGGGGGAUAUUGCACAAUGGGGGAAACCCUGAUGCAGCGACGCCGCGUGGAGGAAGAAGGUUUUCGGAUUGUAAACUCCUGUCGUUAGGGACGAUAAUGACGGUACCUAACAAGAAAGCACCGGCUAACUACGUG
rnacentral:rRNA from 1 species